rnacentral:rRNA from 1 species
CGGCGAACGGGUGAGUAAUACUUCGGAAUCUACCCUAUGGUGGGGAAUAACCAGCCGAAAGGUUGGCUAAUACCGCAUACGUCCUACGGGAGAAAGCAGGGGAUCGUAAGACCUUGCGCCGAUGGAUGAGCCGAAGUCGGAUUAGCUAGUUGGUGAGGUAACGGCUCACCAAGGCGACGAUCCGUAGCUGGUCUGAGAGGACGACCAGCCACACUGGGACUGAGACACGGCCCAG